GCGCACGCUGGCGGCAGGCUUAACACAUGCCAGUCGAGCGGACCUUUCGGGGUCAGCGGCGGACGGGUGAGUAACGCGUGGGAACGUGCCUUCCGGUUCGGAAUAACCCUGGGAAACUAGGGCUAAUACCGGAUACGCCCUUAUGGGGAAAGGUUUACUGCCGGAAGAUCGGCCCGCGUCUGAUUAGCUAGUUGGUGGGGUAACGGCCUACCAAGGCGACGAUCAGUAGCUGGUCUGAGAGGAUGAUCAGCCACACUGGGACUGAGACACGGCCCAGACUCCUACGGGAGGCAGCAGUGGGGAAUAUUGGACAAUGGGCGCAAGCCUGAUCCAGCCAUGCCGCGUGAGUGAUGAAGGCCUUAGGGUUGUAAAGCUCUUUUAUCCGGGACGAUAAUGACGGUACCGGAGGAAUAAGCCCCGGCUAACUUCGUG
rnacentral:rRNA from 1 species